UUUUUGAAUAUACAGGUCCAGUAGGCAUUCCACUUGCAAACUGUGUCUUCGGCUCGCUUUCCGGGAAGGAACACAAGCUGGCAAAUGACGAUUUUGGAAAGUUGCCUAAAAGCACUGAAGCUGAAAUGAUUACAAGAAUCAUUGAGAAACACAAAAAAUGCAAACAUUAUCGUCCCUUUUCCAACAACUGUGAACAUCUAGCUACCUACGUGCGCUAUGGAGAAGAGGUUUCCCUGCAGUGUGGUACACUUAUCGGCAAACAUUUGGUAAAAAACAAAAAAACAAUCGACGAAAUCCUGAAGGAAAGAGGUUUGGAACUGGAGGAGGGAAAAUCACUACCAAAACAAUGGUCCCCACAGGACUUAGAGAAGUACCUCGAUGACUUUAAUGAAGGCAA